rnacentral:rRNA from 1 species
CCUACGGGGGGCAGCAGUGAGGAAUAUUGGUCAAUGGGCGCGAGCCUGAACCAGCCAAGUCGCGUGAGGGAAGACGGUCCUAUGGAUUGUAAACCUCUUUUGUCGGGGGGCAAAAUACGCCACGCGUGGCGUUCCGAGAGUACCCGAAGAAAAAGCAUCGGCUAACUCCGUGCCAGCAGCCGCGGUAAUACGGAGGAUGCGAGCGUUAUCCGGAUUUAUUGGGUUUAAAGGGUGCGCAGGCGGAAGGUCAAGUUAGCGGUAAAAUCCAGGGGCUAAACCUGUCCGAGCCGUGGAAACUGGCUUUCUUGAGUGAGCGAGACGUAUGCGGAAUGCGUGGUGUAGCGGUGAAAUGCAUAGAUAUCACGCAGAACUCCGAUUGCGAAGGCAGCAUACCGGAGCGCAACUGACGCUCAUGCACGAAAGUGUGGGUAUCGAACAGGAUUAGAUACCCCGGUAGUC